ACCGGGGAAAGCAGAACCGUGGAUAAAGAGGGAGUACAACUGCAUUUACAAAAUAGUCAUUGCCGACCGCAGUAUGAUCAAGGAUGUCUGUGCGUGUUCCCCCUGGUUAACCUACGGUGCCGGCCUUGGCUUACUUAGCGAUUCUCAGCAUGAACCCUUUCCUUUUAACCUGGCUCGGCCCUUUUCAUAAGUUCCCCGCCGUCUUACCUACUUUCAUCCUCCUGAGAGCUGUGGGGCUGUGGGUGUCAUUGCCCUCGUUUUCCGGAGAAGUCAGAGAGGAGCCGUGGGCUUAGGGAAGCUGCCUGCCGCCCCGGGCGGGAAACUAGUGACCGAGGCAAGCAGUCCAGACCAUGUUCCGGGUACGUCCCGAAGCCCAUGUGUCUCUGGUCACUUCCUGGAUCAUCUUCUGGCGCCGUCCACACUCUGGGUGGCCUUUCAACAUCUCAUCACUCGUUUGAAAAUAUGUCAAUAUCCUUCAGAGGUUUCCUUGAAAUAAUUCUCGACUCACGGACGUAACAGAGUGACUCAAGCUGACCGUCUGUGAAACCUCAGAGAUCCCUAGAAAGAGCUGUGCAUAGCUUAAGGUGCAAACUGCAUAAAAAUAUUGGGAGUCUGGCUGGAAAACACUGCUGUCUGGAGAUCGGUUAGGAAGGAAAACACAGUACCUUGGAACUUGGGCCGGAUUACAACAUGGAGGCGGUGUUGUUGUUGGGUUUUUUUUCUUGGUGGCCUGCCUCUCGUUGGUCUUCCCGCCCUCCCGUAUCUGCACAUCUUUCUCUUCUCCGCGUGCUCGCAUGCCCUUCGUCAGUGAUUCUCAGACGGACUCUCAGAGCCGUAAUUCACAAGAAGUUGCAACAGGCCAAUAAUGGCUUAAGUAUUAUUUCUCCCCAGAGGGUUUGCAAUUUGGCAGAAAUUGAAGCUUAGGGGAUAAAAUAUCAGGGGUGACAACUUAGACUCGGGGCAGGGAAAUUCCUGGGAGGACCUCACGAGCCACUGGCAUCUUCCCCAAUGGCUGCUGUCCACAGACUCGCCCUAGGCCUGUUUCUCGGGUUGUAAGUCACGUUGAGUGUGGGUGUCGUGCGGUUUCCUAGAUCCCCACCUUUUCCGAGAUGCGAGCUCCCGUGCUCAGUGAGGGCCACCUUCCUUUUCUGGUUAUGGUGUCUUGUUGGACGCCAUAUCUUGGCAGUCCUGGCAGAAGGAUGUGGGCCGAGGGAUAAGGGAUGUGGCUUCUGCUCUUGGCUCCCCAGGGUGACCGUGUUGGUGGUCUUCUGUGUCUUAGUUUCGCCAUCCGUUUUAGUGGAAAGGAUCGGAACAUUCUUGGAGGUCACAGAACGGAACGUGCUGUAUAAACACCAGGGAGUGUUGUUACAAUAACAAAUUAGCGACUCUAGCUUAAAUUUCCCACACUUGAUGACUUGUGGAUGUACCAAAGGAUCAGAAACUGUCCCCUGGGAGAAAGAAAGACCCUUCCUCCUAUCUUCCUACAAGAAUAGAGUGUUAGGAUUUGGGCCACCAUCUCCUGAGAAAUAGUCCUGCAUCUCCCUGUGGAAGGCGGAAAUGGUGGCUCCGGUAGGUUCUAGAAUCCUGCUAAUUAGCUGUCUUGUGGAUCUCUGCCUCCGAGGUUCUAACCUGUCUAGCCUUUUGGUUUUCUCGUUCUAACUUUUACAAAUCUCAUUUUUUUUUUUUUUUUUGCAUUUAAAACACCAUAUUGAAAUACACGGUAAUAUUGAUACUAACAUUUUCUAUUAGGCAAGGAGAGAGAGAAUAUCUCUGUUUUAAUAAUCUGGCCUCUUAUUAGAAACAAGCGUACACAUCCAGAGUAACAAUCGCUUGCCGGUGGUUGUAUGGCAUGACCGUUUCUCUUAGGUAAUUUUGUCUUGAGAUUGAAAACUGCCUUGCACAUUCAAGAAGAUUGUGAAAAGCAGCCCAUCGUCAACGGCGAGUCUGAGGUCGACAUUGGGCAGCGGUUAGUUCGUCCAGACAAACUCUACACAAGAGCUGGAAGAAAUUCUGCUCAGUACCCGUGCGUAUCUUAUGAAUCGUGCGGCCUGGAGACAGCUUGGUUCAGCGGAAAGGCAUGAGCCUCAGGGGCCACAAACUUGUGGCCACUACCCGUGGGAGGUUCACGAGCUCGAAUCUGUGCCUCAGUGUAUCGUGUCUCGCGGGGCCGUUUUCCGGAUGAAUGGAGAUAACGUGUACACAGAACUGUCUUUCCGUGGAAGACUGGACCCUUGAUUCGGAGUCAGGAGAACUCAUCCUUCUGAGCUAAUUCUUCAGUGAACAUGUCGGGCAAAUGAAUUUAGCUCUGUGAGCAAACGUUUCCUUCUGUAUAAUAAAACGGACAUG